UACGAAGGGGGGCUAGCGUUGCUCGGAAUCACUGGGCGUAAAGGGUGCGUAGGCGGACUCUUAAGUCAGGGGUGAAAGCCUGAGGCUCAACCUCAGAACUGCCUUUGAUACUGAGAGUCUCGAGACCGGAAGAGGUAAGUGGAACUGCGAGUGUAGAGGUGAAAUUCGUAGAUAUUCGCAAGAACACCAGUGGCGAAGGCGGCUUACUGGUCCGGUUCUGACGCUGAGGCACGAAAGCGUGGGGGAGCAAACAGG
rnacentral:rRNA from 1 species